rnacentral:rRNA from 1 species
GACGAACGCUGGCGGCGUGCUUAACACAUGCAAGUCGAACGAUGAAAGAGAAUCCGAUCUCUUCGGAGUGAAGAAUCUCUGGAUUAGUGGCGGACGGGUGAGUAACGCGUGAGCAAUCUGCCUUACACAAAGGGAUAGCCUCGGGAAACUGGGAUUAAUACCAUAUGAUAUCUAUUAACCGCAUGGUCUAUAGAUUAAAGAAUUUCGGUGUAAGAUGAGCUCGCGUCCCAUUAAUUAGUUGGUGAGGGUAACGGCCCACCAAGAUAGCGAUGGGUAGCCGAUCUAAGAGGAUGGCCGGCCACAUUGGAACUGAGAAACGGUCCAAACUCCUACGGGAGGCAGCAGUGGGGAAUAUUGCACAAUGGGGGAAACCCUGAUGCAGCGACGCCGCGUGAGCGAUGAAGGCUUUCGAGUCGUAAAGCUCUGUCCUAUGGGAAGAUAAUGACGGUACCAUAGAAGAAAGCCCCGGCUAAUUACGUG